GACGAACGCUGGCGGCGUGCCUAAUACAUGCAAGUAGAACGCUGAAGAGAGGAGCUUGCUCUUCUUGGAUGAGUUGCGAACGGGUGAGUAACGCGUAGGUAACCUGCCUUGUAGCGGGGGAUAACUAUUGGAAACGAUAGCUAAUACCGCAUAACAAUGGAUGACACAUGUCAUUUAUUUGAAAGGGGCAAUUGCUCCACUACAAGAUGGACCUGCGUUUUAUUAGCUAGUAGGUGAGGUAAUGGGUCACCUAGUCGACGAUACAUAGCCGACCUGAGAGGGUGAUCGGCCACACUGGGACAGAGGCACGGCCCAGACUCCUACGGGAGGCAGCAGUAGGGAAGCUUCGGCAAUGGGGGCAACCCUGACCGAGCAACGCCGCGUGAGUGAAGAAGGGUUUCGGAUCGUAAAGCUCUGUUGUAAGUCAAGAACGGGUGUGGGAGUGGAAAGUUCACACUGUGACGGUAGCUUACCAGAAAGGGACGGCUAACUACGUG
rnacentral:rRNA from 1 species